CGUUUGGUGCAGAUAAGCAUUGGAGGAAGAUGAAGGGGAUGCUGAGGACAUCCCGGCAAUGGCCUGCAGGAGCCCCUUGGCAUGUAAUAGCCUAGAUGCCAUGACCAGUAGCAGGAGGCAAACAGGUUCCUGGGCAAAAGGGAGCUGGUUCCUGGUGAAGACCCACCUUCAAACUGUGGAGGAUCUGCAGCCUAGGUCCUGACCAUUGGUCCCAUAGUGGUGCUUUUAUCUGGGUCUACUCAUGGCUGCCCAUGGACCAGUCAGCAUGCACUUAACCUCUGCUGAGAGCUGAAGAGACCACAGUAUGACCUGACUGCCUGCAGAGAGGAGCUAUCCUCUCUGCUGAAAGCUGAACACUCAGGGAUGACCUGCCUGCAGAGGGAGGUUUCACACUCCAGGACCUCCUGUCUGCUAGGAGCUGAACACUUCAGAACAUCCUGACUAUGGAAGGAGCUACCCACUGUGGGUCUCCUCUGAGCUGUCCUAUUAUUCAAUAAAGCUCCACUUCAUCUUGCUUACCCUCCACUUGGCUGCGUACUUCAUUCUUCCUGGUCUCAGGACAAGAACUCGGGACUUGCCAAAUGGUGAAGCCAAAAGAGCUGUAACCCAAACAGGGCUGAAUGUCUUACUCGCCACAUUGUGGAUGAAGAGAAAGAGAAAAGGGCUGCAGCCCUUUGGGGACCCCAGACCUGGGACUUCCCCAAGCCCAGCUCUCCAAAGAGGGAGACCUGUGGUUCCUGGAAUUUCCAAGCUUUCAGGUGCCACUGCAUUCCCCGGUGCCAACUGGGGAAGCUACUUGUGGUACACCUGGUCCAGCCAGGGCCUCACAGAGAACUGGCACCCAUGCUGGAACUGGCCCACCCAUGGUAGCAGCCAGCAUGUCUGUGCACAGCAGCAGGACCCCACACUGGCUCACACCCCCCCACCUACUGCUCCUCACUUGACUCGCCCUUAUCAAGCAUGGAAUCCCGGCUGAUAACAUGAGCCAAGCACAGCCUGCCAAGCUGAGUGGGUGGAGUGAACCCAAUGGGCCCCAGCAAAACUUGGGCUAAGGCACCCCUGGGCACAGAGUUUUCUGGCCAGAAAAGUAACACCCAAAAGCAGAUGAAGUUUCACCACAUUGGCCAGGCUGGUUUCAAAUUCCUGACCUCAAGUGAUCCACCCACUUUAGCCUCCCAAAAGUUCUAGGAUCUUUUACCUCCCAUAUUUGGAAGAUGUGUUGUAAGGAAUUAUUCCAUUGCUGUUACUCCUCAUAGACAUGUCUCCUCUUCUCCUGGAGGAAAUUCUGAAGAAGAGUGAGUGCAUUGGAUUUAUCUUUGAACACAUAUGAGAUAGCUAACACAGUGUCUGGCUUUGAAAUGAAGCACUGGAACCUCCAUGGUUGCUUGUAAUUGUAAGGCCAUUCUGACUGAAGGCAGACAAAAGUUGAGUCAAUGAUGAUCCCUAAAAGAUGAAGGCUCAUCAACUCACAUUUUAUCCACAUACUUUAUAUGUUUUUGUAUUAAUGAGUAAAUAGGUGGAUAAAGAUAAUUCAUAUUUACUUAAUAUUUUAAUUAAAUUCAGUUGAGAUGAUGGGAAGCCUCUCUCUCAAAGUUAUCCAUCCGGUUAGAUGGACUGGUACAGCAAACAUCUGGAUAUGUUUGAAUCUGAGUUCACAUUAUUAUAUUAAAAUGGUAAUACUAAGUGAACUGUUCUUCUUUAGCCUUCAGUCAGAUAAUCUUUGAGGAUCCAAGAGAUCUUCCUUGGGUUGCCAAAAUACAUCAAAUUUGAGAAAUUUGAGAAUCACUAGGGAUUACCAUUCAAUUUUGAUUACACCCAGCUAUAAUGGUGGAAAGCUGCCAAAAUCCAACCCCAGAGAACCAGGUCAUUACCUCUAACAAACUCAUGUGGUCAAGCUGUCAAUUUGAGGCUUAGAGUAAGCUCUCAAAAAGAGCUGAUAGCAGUGCCUCUAAGAAAGUUGCAGCCAACUAGCUUAAAGGCAUUUAAAGAUAUUUUACUGGCAUCUAACUCUGUAAAUGCAACAAUACAACUACAUUGCAGUGGCCCAGGAUAGUGGUGAACCUUCAUGAUGCUCUGCUCCAAGUGACAGAUGCAAGUCCUUGGAAGCUGUGCUAAAAGGGAAUUAUAACAAAACUGGCUGCAUGAUGAGAAAAAAACACAGCCAUGUGGCAGGACAUUCAUGAGAAAUAUGGAUUCAGCUGGUGGUGUUUACACAUUAGAAAAUGUAUUUUAUGCUAAAUCCUAUCUGUGAUGUUCCAAUGAGAACAUGUGGCAUCCAGUAAUCCACUAUCAAAGCUGAUCUUCCUACUUGCAUAAAGAGUGAUAUGAAAGAAAGAGGGAUUAGAGACUCUGUUUUUAUUUCAUUCUUCUGAAUGUUAUCUUGGGAGGAUUAAGAAUGACUGAUGCUGAUACACUGAAACAACCAGUUUAGACCAAGUAAUUCUUGAGAGAGAGAAUUGACAGAUAUAUCUGGCUGUGCACCUGAAUACAAUAUGAAUUUAAUCAUUCAGGAAAGAGGACAGCUAUGUGAAGUCUGUAUGUAGUAAAUGUCACAUGUGAAAUGUCAGUUGGCAUAUUCAUGAGUAUAUUUCCUACUUGUAAAUAAAAUUAAAAGAACUGGAAACAUACUGUUACAAACUGAAUACUUAUGCCCUCUACAAAAUGUGUAAAUUUGAAUUCUAACUUCAAGGUAAGGGUAAUAGGAGGUAGGAUCUUUGGGAAGUGUUGAGGUCAUGAAAGCAGAGCCUUCUUGGAUUGGAUUGCUGACCUUAUAAAAAGACCUCAGGAGAUCCCCUGCCCUUUCUCACCAUACGAGGGCAUGCUGUCAAGAUGCUGUCAAUCAGUACGCAGACCCUCAGCAGACACUGAAUCUGCUGGCACCUUGAUCUUGAAUUUUCUUGUCUCCAGAACUGAGAAAUAGGUUUCUGUUAUUCGUAAUUCACUCUGAUUAUGGUAUUUUGUUAAAGCAUUCUGGAUGGACUAAGACGUAUACACUGCAGCAUAGUCUCUUAGAAGGUGUUCACACAUUUUUGCAAAACAAAAGACACAUUAAAAUUUCCACUCAGGGUGCUGCCACAGUGAGUUUAGUACUAAAACUUUGCUUUUGGAAGCAACAGAUUCACUGCAGUGGGAGUCUUCGCACAGAGGGAAACCCAACGCUAGCUCCGUACUUGAGAAAAAUGAAUAGCGCCCAAACUCUUACACCCUCAGACCCCAGCAAAGUAGCUGGUAAAUGUAGGUAUUCAUUCCUGAAUGAUUGUUUUUUUCUUUCAACUUCUAUUUUAGGUUCAGAGGUUACAUGUGAAGGCUUGUUACAUAAGUAAAUUGUGUGUUGUUGAGGUUUGGUGUAUGAAUGAUCCCUUUAUCCAGGUUGUGGGCAUAGUUAAUGGUUGGUAGCUUUUCGACUUGUCCCCACCUCCCACUCUCCCCCCUCAAAUAGUUACCAGUGUCAACUAUUCCCAUCUUUGUGUUCGUGUGUAUUCAGUGUUUAAUUAGUACUUGUAGAUGAUAACAUGUGGUAUUUGGUUGUCUGUUCCUGUGUUAGUUUUCUUAGAACAAUGGCUUACAGCUGCAUCUAUGUUGCUGCAAAAGACAAGAUUUCCUUCCUUUUUAUUGUAGGAUUUCAUGGACAACAUUUUCUUUAUCCAGUCAACGGUUUAUGGGCCUCUAGGUUGAUUCUCUGUCUUUGCUAUUGUGAAUAGUUCUGCAGUGAACACACAACUGCAUGCCUUUUGGUAAAAAAAUUUAAUUUCCUUUGGGUAUAUACUCAGUAGUGAGAUUGCUGGGCUGAAUGGCAGUUCUGUUUUCAAUUCUUUAUGAAAUCUCCAAAUUUCUUUCCAUAGUGACGGAACUAAUUUACACUCCCACCAGCAGUGUAUAAGUGAUUCCUUUUCACUACAACCCAGCUGUUGUUUUUUGACUUUUUAAUAUAGCCAUGCUGAGCCAUUCUGACUGGUGUGGGAUCGUAUCACACUGUGGUUUUGAUUUGCGUUUCUCUAAUUAUUAGUGAUGAUGACCAUAUUUUCAUAUGUUUGUUGGCUGCAUGCAUGUCUUCUUUUGAGAAAUAUCUGUUUAUAUGCUUUGCCCAUUUUUAUUGGGGUUAUUUGCCCUUUUGUUUGUUGAAUUGUUAAAGGUUUUUAUAGAUUCUAGACAUUAGAACUUUUUCUGUUGCAUAGUUUGUGAACAUUUUUUUUCCAUUCUGUAGGUUGGCUGUUUACUCUGUUGAUAGUUUCUUUUGCUGUGCAGAAGCUCUUUAGUUUAAUUAGGUUGCACUUGUCAAUGUUUGUUUUUGUUGCAAUUAUAUUCGUGGACUUAAUCAUAAAUUCUUUGCCAAGGCUGAUGUCCAGAAUGGUAUUUCAGAGCUUUUCUUCUAGGGUUUUUGUAGUUUUAGAUUUCCCACUGAAGUCUUUAAUCCAUCUUGAGUUAACGUUUUAAUGUUUGUAUAUGGUGAAAUGAAAGGGUCCAGUUUCAAUCUUCUGCAUAUGGCUAGUCAGUUAUCCCAGCCCUAUUUAGGAAGUCCUUUCCCUAAACAGCGAGUUCUUUCCGCAUUGCUUAUUGUUGUUGACUUUGUUGAUGAUCAGGUAGUUGUAGGUACGCAACUUUAUUUCUGGGCUCUUUAUCCUGUUCCAUUCAAAUAUGUGUCUGUUUUUGUAUCAGUAUCAUGCUGCUUUACAUGAAUGUUUAUUGAAUUGAAUUUCAUAUCAUCAUGAUAGGUUGAGUAAUUACAAAUUGCAAACAGUCCCAGAAAAUUAAAAAAUUAUUAAUGUGUGGGUGUCAUAAAUAUUAUUGAUUGCUUGAAGAAAGUUACUUUAUACAUUAAAUCUUCAGUUUUAUUUCUAAAUAAAAACUGAAGUAAAUACAUUUACUUUUAUUUAACUAUCCACUUGCAAAAUGAGUUUUCUUAAAUCAAAUGCCUGUACUUUUAUCUCAUAAUAGUAAGUAAUUAGCAGCAAACCCACUUUGAUGUGACAUCAAUUUUGUGUUGAUAUAUUCUGUCAAUAAGCCAUUAUUAUAUAACUCAAACAUUCUACUUAGUAAUACAUUAUCCAUUACAUCAGUACAUUGGCUGGAUCACUUUGAACCAGGAAAAAAAUAAUCUCACUUGAAGAAUUAGUAGAUUGCUUUUCAUCAGGUAAUGACAAUUAGAGAAUCUAUCAUGGUUCAUUUGUUAUCUUGUUAGAAUGCCAAGAAUUAAAUUUAAUGGUCAAUCAAUGCAACUAAUUAGGCAUAUGUUGAUAUAUAUUCCUUAUUAUCUUCAACAUAUUUUUAUUUUCUCAUUUUAUCAUUAUACUUGCAUAGUAUACCUGAGCAAACAAAUGCAUAUAAAAUAGGUAUAUAGGUAGAUGACCAAUCUAUGGAUCAGAUAUUUGUCAUUAUAAAGAUGUUAAAUCAAACAACCUGAAAAAAUCUUUCGUUGAUAAGACAAACAAGACUUCAAGCUGAGUUGAAGUAAUCACCUUCAAAUUGUACCACCUCACUCUGCCUGUCAUCACAAGCUUGCAAAACAUCAUACUUAAAACAUUUAUUAAAGUCAAUUGAAUCUUAUUAUCUUCCUCCUCCAGUUUCAAAAGAAAUGAUUAAACAAAAAUUUCCUACCUGUUUAAGAAGAUUUUUUGUCUGAGAUGUAGUAAAAAUAAUUGGUACUUGCUUUUUGUUCUGUUUUAAUCAAAAGGUAGGGUUUAAACACCAUCUGGAAUGGCAUUUUUCCUUUAAUUUAUUUCUAUAAUCAGAUUUGAGUACUCAAAUUUAUUUAUAAGAAUUUUUAAAAUAAUAAAUUUUAUGGUUAUUUGAUAUUGUUUGGAUGUUCAUCUCCUUCAGAUGUCAUGUUAAAAUGUGCCCUUCAGUGUUGGUGGUAGGGACUGGUGGGAAGUAUUUGAUCAUGGGGCCAGUACCUCAUGACUUAUCAUCCUCUGGUGCUAAGUCAUAAGCAAGCUGUUGCUUAGUUCACAUAAGAUCUGGUUGUUUAAGAGACCAUGGCACCUCCUCCACCCUUGCUUCCUCUUACUAUAUGAUACACUGGCUCUCUGUUGCCUUCUGCCAUGAUUGUAGCUUCCUGAGGCAUCACUAGGAGCCGAUACUCACACCAUGCUUCUUGUACAGCCUGAAGAAUAGUAAGCCAAAAUAACCCUCUUUUCUUUAGAAAUUAUUCAGCCUUAGGUAAUCUUUUAGAGCACCACUUGCAGACUAACAUAGAAAAUUGGUACCAAGGAAUGGGAUAUUGCUAUAAACAUAGCUGAAAAUGUGGAAUCAGCUUUGGAACUGGAUAAUAUGCAGAAGCUGGAAGAGCUUGGAGGGCUCGGAAGACAGGAAGUUGAGGGAAAGUUUGGAACUUCUUAGAGACUGGUUAAAUGUUUGGGACCAAAAUGCUGAUAGAGAUAUGGACAGUGAAUGCUAGGCUGAUGAGAUCUCAGAUGGAAAUAAAGAGUUUAUUCAGAAGUAGAGUUAAGGUCACUCUUGCUACUCUCUAGCUAAGAAGUUAGAGGAAUAAUGUUCAUUCCAUACGGCUUUGUGGAAGGUAGAACGUAAAAGUGAUGACCUUAUGGAAUAAAUUUCUAGGCAGCAAAUCAUUCAAGACAUGGUUCUAACAGCCUAUGAUCAGAUACAGGAACAAAGGAAUACUUUAAAAUUGGAACUUAUAUUUAAAAGGAAAGAAGAGUGUAAAAGUUUGGAAAAUUUGCAUUUUAGCUAUGUAGCAGAGGAAGAAAAAGCUUUUUUUUUUUCAGGAGGGAAAUGCAAGUGGGUUUAUGAGCAACCACUUGCUAGAGAGAUUUGCAUGACUAAAUGAGAGCCAAGUGCUAAUAUGCAAGACAAUGAGCAAAAGGCCUUGAAGGCAUUUCAGGGAUCUUUGAUUUUUUUUUUUUCUGUUUUCUAUUUAUUUAUUUACUUAAUUUAUUUUUUGGUGCCAUGACUCAAAUGAGGCUGUUUUCUUACAGAGCCUUUCGAUGGUCUAACUGUCCAUUAUUCUUUUUUUUUUUUUUUUUAUUUCUCAGGGUUGUUUAUUGUUAAUUCUUUUUUUUUUUUUUUAAUUGGAUUUUAGGUUUUGGGGUACAUGA